CAGGGAAUUUCUCCUGCUCUCUCCCUCUGGGUGAAGCCUCAGCCCAUGGCUCCUCCACAGCCACACCCCCUGCUGCACGAUCCCUCCCUCUGAGGUCCCAGCUUCCUAUGGUCAGCCUGCCACGCCUCCACCCCCAACCUCUUGGCCCAGAUCCUUGGCUCCAGGAAAUCACUUCCGCCUGGGUCUUACCAACCCUAGGGGUGGUUGUGGCUUCCUGUGUUUCUUGCUGCAUUUUCCCCUUUUGGACUCUGUUCUAUCUGGGUAACCAACAAGUUUACUCUGAAAUACCCAGAGUAGUCUCUGUUUUCCUGACUGGGCCUUGUCUGUUACACAGCUUCAUGAGUGGCUCUCCGGCAGAAGCCCAUAUUAGCCCAGGGGCCAGUGUGGGCAAAGGGGUCCCCACACCCCUGGCUGACUGGGGAACAUGGGGAUCCCAGCACAAGCCUAAAUGCUUGGCUACCUCUGAUGCAAUCUGCUCAGUCAAGAACCAAGCUGCUGUCCUCGCUCAAACCCGGAGCAGCUGGCCAGGACGCUCAGCUUUCCCAGCAGGUGGGGCCCCUCGUGGCAGGCACUCCACAGGUGCAGACGAGAAAUCAAAGAGAAUCUACAAGCACCCUUCCCAUGGUGUGCUUCUCAAUUUCACCACAACUGUACAUCCCAAGGAUAUCUCAUGGAUAGGACCACAGUGUCUGCCUCUGGCAUCCUUUCUCCACCAAGAAAUGACUCCAAGUUCUUAAGAAAUGGGACACCUCUUGAGAGGGAAAGUAUUGCAACUCAACCAGAGGGGGAUAGAUGUGAGAGCCAGACUCCAGCCUGGAUCUUCUGGCCCUGAGAUAGGACAUUUCCAAAAGACCAGGCUCAGAAGGCCUGUGGAAAACACUCCCCCGGAAGGAUCCUCAAUUCUUCAAGCAAAGCUGCAACCGCAUUUCUUCUGCUCCAUGGAGAUUCUGGGCAAUUUUUUAGUAUAAAUCUGCAAGUUUGAACCAAGGGGGUGCUUCUGAUGAGCACUCAAUGAGAACCAACAGACACCCAGUACUGCCCCUACCCACCCAUUCCCUGAGCCCUCUGCAUCCUGGGGGUAAUUACUGUGAAUUCCAGUUUCUAGCCAAUUCUGUUUUCCAAAUCUCUUUUCUUUUCUUAUUUUAUUUAUUUAUUUAGAGGCAGAGUUUUCACUCUUGUUGCCCAGGCUGGAGUGCAGUAGCACGAUCUCAGCUCACUGCAACCUCACCUCCUGGGUUCAAGUGAUUCUCCUGCCUCAGCCACCAGAGUAGCUGGGAUUAUAGGCGCAUGCCACCACACUUGGCUAAUUUUUGUGUUUUCGGUAGAGACGGGGUUUCACCAUGUUGGCCAGGCUGGUCUCAAACUCCUGACCUCAGGUAAUCCACCCACCUCGGUUUCCCAAAGUUCUGGGAUUACAGGCAUGAGCCACCGUUUCUGGCCUGUUUUCCAAAUUUCUAACCAAUCCAGGUCCUCACAAUUUAGAAUGAAGGGUAGAUAGCCUACAUGCCUGCCUGGCUUGAUUAUAAACUGCAGCCCUCAGACUGCAGAAGAAGAAUCUUGUAGAUUUUCUGGGUCAUUCUCCUCUACCAUUUAACUAACCCAAAAAGAGACACAGGCUGGGCGCGGUGACUCACGCCUGUAACAAUAGCACUUUAUGAGGCCAAGGUGGGAGGACUGCUUGAGACCAAGAGUUCGAAACCAACCUGGCCAACACAAUGAACCCCCAUCUCUAAAAAAGAGAGAAAGAGAUGCAGCAAAGGGUGCCUUUUUCCACAUAGGGGCCUCUAUUGCCCAGGCUGGAGUGUAUUGGCAUGACUGUGAUCGUAGUUCACUAUGAUCACUUGAGCCCAGGAGUUUGCAGCCUCAAACUCCUAGACUCAAGUGAUCCUCCCUCCUUGGCCUCCUGAGUAGCCAAGACUGCAGAUGCACACCACCACACCUAGCUAAUAUGUAUAUUUUUUAAGAGACAGGGUCUCAGUAUGUUUCCCAAGCUGAUGUUAAACUCCUGGCCUCAAGCAAUCCUCCUAUCUCAGCCUUCCAAGCACUGGGAUUAUGGGUGUGAGCCGCCAUGCCUGGUCUCUCUGGUAUAUUUUUCUUUAUCUAUUUCUUCUUCUUCUUCUUCUUUUUGAGACAGAGUCUCUCUUUGUCACCAGGGCUGGAGUACAAUAACGCAAUCUCAGCUCACUGCAACCUCUGCCUCCCAAAUUCAAGCAAUUCUCCUGCCUCAGCUUCCCCAGUAGCUACAAUUACAGACACCUGCCACCAUGCCCAGCUAAUUUUUAUAUUUUCAAUAGAGACGAGGUUUCACCAUAUUGGCCAGGCUGGUCUUGAACUCCUGGCCUCAGGUGAUCCACCCACCUCAGCCUCCCAAAGUGCUGGGAUUACAGGCAUGAGCCACUGCACCCAGCCACUGGUACAUUUUUUGACAAUGGUUUUCUGCCUUUGAAAGGGGUGGAAUGCGGCCCGGCGUGGUGGUACACGCCUAUAAUCCCAGCACUUUGGGAGACCAAGGCGGGCAGAUCACAAGGUCAAGAGAUCAAGACCAUCCUGGCCAAGAUGGUGAAACCCCAUCUCUACUAAAAAUACAAAAAAUUAGCCAGGUUUGGUGGCAAGCACCUGUAAUCCCACCUACUCAGGGGGGCUGAGGCAGAAGAACCGCUUGAACCUGGGAGGUUCAAGCCAGACUCCAUCUGAUUGUUAAAAGCAAACAAAUAAAUAAAAGAUUCCACAGCCUUUAGAUGUCA
rnacentral:lncRNA from 13 species